GGCCUGUGGGCCGCCCUGGCCGCUCCUUGCCUCCGACUGCAGCGUGUUGCUUCGGACUGCAUGUCGGACUACAUGGAGGGGCUGAGGCGCGUCACCAACGGCCACCCCCCGUCCACGGAGGACGUGCAGCGGGUGAUCGACCAGGUCAACCAGGUGUUCAGCCAGCGACAUCAAGAGGAGGCGCUCGUGGCAGCGGUGAACGCGUGCCUGGCCUCGCCGGCGCCGCGCCCGGACCAGCUGCU